rnacentral:rRNA from 1 species
UUGAACGCUGGCGGCAUGCCUUACACAUGCAAGUCGAACGGUAGAGGGGCAACCCUUGAGAGUGGCGAACGGGUGAGUAAUAUAUCGGAACGUGCCCAGUCGUGGGGGAUAACGUAGCGAAAGCUGCGCUAAUACCGCAUACGAUCUAUGGAUGAAAGCGGGGGAUCGCAAGACCUCGCGCGAUUGGAGCGGCCGAUAUCAGAUUAGGUAGUUGGUGGGGUAAAAGCCCACCAAGCCGACGAUCUGUAGCUG